rnacentral:lncRNA from 1 species
UAAAAGUUUAACUCAACCUUGGGCAGAGAUCAAAACUGAAAUGAAAAGACUUGCCUCCUCAUUCUUGAUAUUCAACAGCGAGAACGCUAAGCUGAUCUGAAAAGAAAAGGCUUCCAACAAAAUUUUGCAAACAAUUCCAACGAGAAUUGUUAGAUCCGUAGCAACGUCAAAAAUUUGUGGUUCAAAAGGAGUAUGGUACAAUCGAUUCCAAGAAUAUUAUAUGGAUUUUUUCCUACUCCAGGUAUGUUAAGGCUAUCCCUUCUUUCUUUUUUGCAUGAUCUAUACGACACGAAUGAAACGAGCGAGACGCACCAGUCUCAACCAUUUAGUAGGAAACAUAUUACAUCUUGUAAGAGUAGUGGUGUAGUUGGUGCUUCUGUAACACGUUGUUCGUGUAUUGGAGAUACUAAAGGAGCUAUUCUAAAGCUGGCUCAUAGAAUUACUGAAAUUUAAGUCACAUUAGAAGUAGUAUCCAAGUUUAUAGAGAACAACUCCAUAUUUUACUAUGAAAGUUUGGAGACAAUCUUGCAUGAAAUUUAUCUUUCUACAAAAAAAAAAAUCUUACAUGUAAUUUGGCUAAUGACUAAUUGAUCGGUGCCUGAAGGAUUGCUUAAUACCUUAAGAUUCUAGAAGGAAUUUUGUCUAUUAUUGCAUAUCAAAUAUAGUCAUUCAAGUGUAAAAUCAAAGUUAAAUGGCUUUUCACCAUAUUAACAUUUCUCAGCAUGGGUAUAUUCUCUAUUUCUGUGUAACUGAUUGACCUUGAAAUUCCUCCACCUUGAUCUUGAUUAGCCUUAUUUGGUGUCAGUACUGUAAUUAGCCUUAAUCUUUUAUACAUGAAGUUUGAAAGUUCAAUUUGCUUAUUAUCAAGACUAGUGGAUCAAAUUUCAUAAAUGACUCUAUUCGUAGAAGUAUUAGAGAUGUCUAUGUUCUUGAAUUCCCAUAUAUGUUAUUAUUCUAUCGUCUGUUCAUGGGUCUCAGAAAAUAUGUAAGUUGAUAAAGUAUUUUCCAUGAAAUUAAUCAGAGGUAUAAUGGUCUUAUGACAUUCUAAGAGAUUUUAUUAACGUACUUCUCAUGCAUUGCAUUCAUUUACAUGUGCAUUCACCCAUGACUCAGAAGAUGUUAUAUACGCGUAUAUAUGUAUAUGGGAUAUGAGAAAAUAUUACGGAGUUAUAUACGCACCACCACCUGAUCAGCUAGUAUACGAUGAUGUUGUUGCCCACAGUGGUUAAAAUAUGACUCAGACGAUGUUAUAUAAGUAUAAAGUAUAUAUAUAUAUAUAUAUAUAUAUACAUAUAUAUAUAUAUAUAUAUGUAUAUGUAUAUGUAUAUGGGAUAUGGGAAAAGAUUACGGCGUAUACGCACCACCACCUAAUCAACUGGUAUACGUUGAUGAUUCUGCCCACAGUGGCCGUAUGAUAUGAUGGCAUGCCCUCAAAGGCUGAUGAUGUUAUGAGACAUGUACCUAUGCAUGACAUGACAUUCAUACGCAUAUGCAUGACGCUAAAAGUAUUUCAUGAUUUAUAGAGUUAUUCGGACUUACAAGUUGAAUCAAGUACUCUAUAUUUCUUCCAUGUCUGUUAUGUACUUAUUUAUGUGCCUUACAUACUCUAUACAUUUUUGUACUGACGUUCCUUUUACCUGGGGACACUGCGUUCCAUGCCCGCAGAUCCCGAUAGACAGGUCGAGAGCCCUCCAAGUAGGCUAUCAGCUCAGCGGAAGAUGUUGGUACGCUCUAUUUGCUUCGGAGUUGCUUGUUUGGCUGGUAUGAUUUAGACGUGUAUUGUUUGGUAUGGCAGGACUUUGUCCCGGACAUUAUGACAUUCAUUUACUCUUAGAGGCUUAUAGACAUAUGUCAUAUACGUGAAAGAUUGUACGGCCUUGUCGGCCUAUGUUUUGAGUUUAUAAAUGAUUAUGUUGACCUAUUAGGCUCGUAUGUCAUGUGUAUAUGGUAAUGUAAUAAGAAAUAUACAUUACGUUGGUACUCAGUUGAGUAAGGUACCGAGUACCCAUCGCAGUCCAUUGGUUUGGGUCGUGACAAAAGUCGUAUCAGAGCAGUUCUGUCCUAGGGAGUCUACAAGCCGUGUCUAGUAGAGUCUUGUUUAUGGGUGAGUCGUGCACCACACUUAUAAGCAGGAGGUUCAGGGUAUUUAGGACUGUCACUUUUUCUUCUUACUCUAAAUCGUAUGAUAAAGCUCACUUAUAAGAAUUCAAGUCCGGAACUUCUAUUCAUAAUAAGACGAUGCUUUCAGAAAGACGAUCGAUAAGAGAUACAGCUAUGGAAUUACUGAUUUAGAGGAACUCGAUUUUUCAUCUUGCUUAUGAUAAGUAAGGUCUUUAGCAAAUCAUGGGUGUACUGAAAGGUGUAAGCCUCUUGAUAAGAUAACUUAAGGCAAGAAUAUUUUUCCACGUUUAUGGUAAAAGACAAUGCUUUUAAGAAGUAAAAGAAGCAAGGUGAAGAAGGGUACGAGGCGCCCAGUUAAUGAAGAUUAUCGGUAUUACAGUUUCGGUAGAAAAAUAUAAGUAUUAAGAGUUACCCUCAAUAGUAACAGAGAUAUGUACAAUUGGUCGUACCCAUCUUAGUUAUGCCCUAUGGGGGCUAACAAGUAUAUUUUAAGAAAAUGACAGAAUAUCACGAUCCGACUAAGGUUAGAGUAAGACAAAAUGGUAGAUGAAUUAUUUGCGUUAGUUGAUAUUUCCGAAGGAUAUUGCAAUUGUGCUAAUAGAUCUCCUUGUGAGACACCCAGAUGGUGCAUACUAAAAUAGUACAACUAGAUAUGAGUACUAUAAAGAUUUGAACUAGAAACUUUGAAGGGAUAAGUAUUACCUUAGUAGGGCUCCCAUCCUAAUGGAGGAAGAAUGUUAGGCUGCCCGAAGAGCCAGUAGAUGGAGGAAGGGAAGGUAAAAAGCGAAAGAAUGUCUUGUUAAAAUUUUCAAGAUAACGUAAUAAAUAGAAAUAUUAGCAGGAAAGUACGAAGAGGGAUAACAAAGAAUUAUGAGUGAGAUACAUGAAUGGCAACAGUAGAGUGUUACAGAAUCUAAAAUAAAAUAAAGAAGGAGAUAGGAGGUGAUGGGCCUUAAGACAACAAGAGAAUAUAGGUCAUACAGUCAUAUCCUCACUUCGAGAAAUAAGUUCGCGAUUCUAAUAUGAUUAACAGAAGAAAAUUAGACCUAGAGUAAUAGAAAACAGUAUGGAUUGGUGAAAAAGAUAAAUUAAACAUGAAUUAAGGACUAAGUGAUUUGACAAUAGUCGGCAUCAUGAGAAUUUCAGAUUUCGUUCCAGCAAUAGUAGAAUAGACAAUAGAAGAAGAUUCGGGAGAAAUUCGGAGAAUGGUCAUUCAGAAAAAUGCUUCCCUAAAGCAAGUAAUGGGAGCAAAGUUAAUCUUAAGGGACUGUAUGUAACAAUUACAUUAAGUGUCACCCUGGUGGGAAGGAAUUUUGUUGUCCUUGGUAUAAAAAGAUUAUCGCAAGGCGCGUAAGGGUCAUCGACAAAGUGAAAAGAUGCUAGAGAUGAAGAGGUAAAACAUAUAAACAUAGAUCAUCAUAGAACUAAAUCUUAGUACUCCCCUAAAAGAGGGGGGGGGGGGGGAGAAUAUGGAGUGAUGUGGCAUUAAUACAAAAUUAAGUUGUUCUAGUAACUAUGGAAUGGUAAAGGAAGAGCGCGAAAAAAAAUGAGAAAGGAAUGAGAUUGCACUUAUCUGAAUCCUACAGAUAUGCUAUUAUUAAAGAAUGUUAUGUAAGAGCGACGUCGGAGAAUGAAACUAAGAGUUCCUGCCCGGGAGGUUAUUGAUAAAUAAGGAGUCGGUGCAAGAGGUACGUUAGACAAAGGAAGUAACCCAAGAGAGGUUACGCGGAAUAUGGAUAUGAGAAUGGGACGAAUGAGUAGUUAGCAGUUGAUUUAGGAAGAGUCUAGUUAUGGCUAGACAAGAAGGUACAGACAAAUCAACAGAUCGUGCCAGAUAAAUAUAGUGAAACCCAACAUAGUGAAUUCAGCCUCGCAGUAAUGUCAUUGUAAUACUUGACAAAUAUUCAGAUAGGAGUUGGGGUAGUUAAAAAUACCAUAUGAGUGUUACGGAAAUAAACAAGAAUGCCACUGGGAAGACAAUCGGAAUAUCAGCUCAGAAGCAACCCUACAAGCACAAGGGCAUGGAAGUAUGUAACUACGGAUAAUUAUAGGCGAGGAAGGAUAUCAAAAGGUUCGUCGAGUAUACAAUGUAUAAGCUCAUAGCUUUACAAGAGUUGGAGGGUCCUCCCUAAGUACUAUAAUGAAAGACUAGCCGAGGAAGUAAGGAAGAAGACUUCAACCUAAUCUCAGUGACCUAAAGAGGAAAUGGUCUUUUAAUAACAACAUCACUACAAUGUUAUAUGCACUCCAUAAAUAAAAAGUGGCACCUACCAUGGCUAAUGAACGGGAAGUAAAAUCAGAAGUAAUAUUCAAGAUCAUAUGAGUUGUAUGGAAUUCAUAUAUGUGUGGGCACUAAGAUAAGUUAAGUAUGAACGCAACAAGGGGCAAAAAGACCAGGAAAAGUAAUUGCUUACGUUUGAAGAAAGUUGAGAUGGAAUGAAAGGAAUUAUUUGAUCAAUGAUCCAGAUCUAGUUACAUUAUGAAUGCACUUAAGAUGAAUCACAUUAGGAUGCUAUGAACUACGAUUAUAGAAGUACUGUAUCACCCCUCAGUCGAUCAGGAAAAUGACUUCAAAUAUUCCUCGAUGCAACAUAAGCCCUAGUGGCAAUGUAUUACAUAAGAAGUUUCAAGUUAUUAAUGGAAGAUCAUAGAUCAACAUUAAGGUUAAUCGACAAUGAAAGAUACAAAGUACGAGAUGAGAUUAGGCCAUCAGCCUUAAGAUGAAUAGUAAUGAAGAAGCGUUAAAAGACAUAGCUUUAUGCAUAUUUGAUAAGCAACGAGAGUAACUUGGAGUUUGGUCACAGACCUCAGUAACAAUAAAUCAAAGUAAGAGUUAUGGUAUUGUAUGACCUACUUAGAGGUACUAAAGCUAACGAAGCCAAAUGAUAGCUUGACGUAAUUUUGUAUAUGUUCAUAAAAUGAGGCCGAGAGAUUGGCUAAGAGCUAGAGGAAAGAGAAGAGAAGAGUCAGGCGCACAUACAAAGUUAAAGUCAUAAAGGUUGCAUGAUGGAAGGUAGCAAUAGUUACGAGAUUAGAAGGAUUCCGACUACAAGUCGUGGUGUGAGAAAGAGGCUAAAAAGGGGGAAUGCCCUGGCCUUUGAGAUUCAUUCACAGAACAGUUGCCUAGAUAGCAAGGCGAGUACUAAAGUAUUCACAAGACCUAUGGGUUAUGAGAAUGAUAAGUACAUCAUCCAACAUUCGAGGACGAAUUUUCCAAAGGGGGAAUGAUGUUACACCCAUGUUUUUGUACGUGGAGGUACACCACAAGUAAAUUGAUGUAAGAUCAGAAAUAAAAUGUUACGUCCGGCAAUUUUUUACGCUGAAGUUUCAUCGUAAGUUAAUCGACGUGAAUUUGGGAAUGAGAUUUAUUUUGGGAUUAUAAGUAUCACGCCAUUUCAAACAUGGGAUAGGUAAAUUCGUGAAGGUUAUAGGGUAAGCAAAAAAAAAUGAGUUUCAUCGAAGUUUGGCAGUUUGGAAUAAAAUACGACCAGAGCUAGAAUACCCGAUAUUUAUGGACUAGUACCAUGUAAAGUACCAUAUGAUUAUGGUAGUAUGAUUUAUACAGUAUAUUUAAAAUAAGUAUACUUUUUAGUAAUUUUAGAUAAUUUUUAAUUACGCGGGUAGUUGGUUAAUUACCGGGUAACGGGACAUUACCUAAUUAACUAAUAAGGGGCUAUUCUAAAGCUGGCUCAUUGAAUUAGUGAAAUUUAAGUCACAUUAGAAGUAGUAUCCAAGUAUAAAGAGAACAACUCCACAUAUUACUAUGAAAGUUUGGAGACAAUCUUGCAUGUAAUUUAGCUUUAUACAAAAAAACAAUCUUACAUGUAAUUUGGCUAAUGACUAAUUGAUCGGUGGCAGAAGGAUUGCUCAAUACCUUAAGAUUCUAGGAGGAUUUUUUUCUAUUAUUGCAUAUCAAAUAUAGUCAUUCAAGUGUAAAAUCAAAGCUAAAUGGCUUUUCACCAUAUUAACAUUUCUCAGCAUGAGUAUAUUCUCUCUUUCUGUGUAACUGAUUGACCUUGAAAUUCUUCCACCUUGAUCUUGAUUAGCCUUAUUUGGUGUCAGUACUGUAAUCAGCCUUAAUCUUUUAUACAUGAAGUUUUCAAGUUCAAUUUGCUUAUUAUCAAGGCUAGUGGAUGAAAUUUCAUAAAUGACUCUAUUCGUAGAAGUAUUAGAGAUGUCUAUGUUCUUGAAUUCCCAUAUAUGUUAUUAUUCUAUCGUCUGUUCAUGGGUUUCAGAAAAUAUGUAAGUUGAUAAAGUAUGUUUCAUGAAAUUAAUCAGAGGUAUAAUGGUUUUAUGACAUUAUAAGAGAUUUUAUUACCGUACUUUUCAUGCAUUGAAUUCAUUUACAUGUGCAUUCACCCAUGUCUCAGACGACGUUAUAAACGCGUCUAUAUGGAUAUAUAUAUGUAUAUGGGAUAUGGGAAAAUAUUUUAGUGUCACCACCACCUGAUUAGCUUGUAUACGAUGAUGUUGCUCAUAAUGGCUGAAAUAUGACUCAGACGACGUUAUAUAUACGUAUAUAUGUAUAUAUAUGUAUAUGGGAUAUGGAAAAUAAUUAUGGCGUUAUAUAUGCACCACCUUCUAAUCAGUUGGUAUACAUUGAUGAUUCUACCCACAGUGGCCGUAUGAUAUGAUGGGAUGCCCUCAGAGGCUGAUGAUGUUAUGAGAUAUGUACCUAUGUAUGACAUGACAUUCAUACACAUAUGCAUGACGCUAAAUAUAUUUCAUGAUUUACAGAGUUAUUCAGACUUACAAGUUGAAUCAAGUACUCUAUAUUUCUUCCAUGUCUGUUAUGUACUUAUUUAUGUGCCUUACAUACUCGGUACAUUUUUUGUACUUACGUCCCUUUUGCCUGGGGACACUAUGUUUCAUGCCCGCAGAUCCCGAUAGACAGGUCGAGAGCCCUCCAAGUAGGCUAUCAGCUCAGCGGAAGAUGUUGGUGCACUCCAUUUGCUUCAGAGUUGCUUGUUUAGCUGGUAUGAUUUAGACGUUUAUUGUUUGGUAUGGUGGGACUCUGUCCCGACCUUUAUGACAUUCAUGUACUCUUAGAGGCUUGUAGACAUAUGUCGUGUACGUGAAAGAUCGCACGGCCUUGUCGGCCUAUGUUUUCAGUUUAUAAAUGAUUAUAUUGAC